UGUAUGUGUAGCUUCAUCGAAACUAAGCUCUUAACAGUUCAACCUGUACCCUCGCACGACCGGAGUUCCGCAUCGACAUUCCAAACUCAUGGAUUCAAACUCGAGUAUUUUGCUAACGGUUGCAUCCCCUUUUUUCCAUUUCUACACCAGUAGCAGUAUCUGGAGAAGCUGUUUAUUAUUUGUGAUUUUUGAAAUACCCUCCUGAGUCCUGACAUACACAUUUCAUCACGUUUUGGUCUUUUCAUGCCUGUUCUUUGAAGGUCUCGAGGAAGAACACCAACACCUGGCCGGUAUCAGGCUUGCGAGACAAAAGAGGACAAGGUCAUAGACGAUCUUGUAGCUACUCACCUCGAUGAAAUGAUAGAGACUAUCAUUCAAGGGUAGACAAGGAAGAUCCCGUUCUCGUUCUCCAUAUGGUAAGAGAAGUGAUGAUUAUGACUUGUAUAGGAGGCGCAAAGGGCACACCUUGUCUGGUGAUGGCGGUGGUUAUCGUAGAUGAGAGACGAAUGUUUAUCCAUAUGGAAGAAGAAGCCCUAGUUAUGACUGUGUAGGAGGGCAUUCCUUGUAUGGUGAUACCAUAGAUGAAUGAAUGUGUGAUCAUUAU